rnacentral:misc_RNA from 1 species
CUGUGAGAUUACAUAUGCAUAUAGUGUUAAUUCUAUAAGAAUAAACCUUUUUAGAAAUUUGCUUAUAGGGAGGAAUUUGAAGGAGACACGGAACACAGAACCGUAGCGUACACUUAGUACGUGAGGAUUUGAGUACCGGAUCGACGUACAAAUUACCCCUAGAAGUAGGGUUUUCGAAUAGGUCUAAUGUAGUAUCAACUCACAAAGUUAUCAGGUUUAUAUACAGCUUUAUCAACUAAUAAAGAUGUUGUUGCAUGACUAAUGUCAUAUCAUGGCUUGAUCCACGGUAUCCAGUAAAAAUUAUUUUGCUGAGUAUCGUAGUAAAAGUUAGGAUAUAAUGUUAAGACUUUUUUUGAGUCGUGCAGCAAUAUUAACAGCAAACUAAUACAAAUCUAUCUUUUAAAAGUUUGUAUUGCU